GUGCCCUUGAGGCGUGGCUUCCGGAGCUAACGCGUUAAGUCGACCGCCUGGGGAGUACGGCCGCAAGGUUAAAACUCAAAUGAAUUGACGGGGGCCCGCACAAGCGGUGGAGCAUGUGGUUUAAUUCGAUGCAACGCGAAGAACCUUACCUGGUCUUGACAUCCACAGAACUUGGCAGAGAUGCCUUGGUGCCUUCGGGAACUGUGAGACAGGUGCUGCAUGGCUGUCGUCAGCUCGUGUUGUGAAAUGUUGGGUUAAGUCCCGCAACGAGCGCAACCCUUAUCCUUUGUUGCCAGCGGUUAGGCCGGGAACUCAAAGGAGACUGCCAGUGAUAAACUGGAGGAAGGUGGGGAUGACGUCAAGUCAUCAUGGCCCUUACGACCAGGGCUACACACGUGCUACAAUGGCGCAUACAAAGAGAAGCAAACUCGCGAGAGCAAGCGGACCUCAUAAAGUGCGUCGUAGUCCGGAUUGGAGUCUGCAACUCGACUCCAUGAAGUCGGAAUCGCUAGUAAUCGUGAAUCAGAAUGUCACGGUGAAUACGUUCCCGGGCCUUGUACACACCGCCCGUCACACCAUGGGAGUGGGUUGCAAAAGAAGUAGGUAGCUUAACCUUCGGGAGGGCGCUUACCACUUUGUGAUUCAUGACUGGGGUGAAGUCGUAACAAGG
rnacentral:rRNA from 1 species